UUAAUUGAAACCAAAUUAGAGGUUUAUCACUGUUAAUGAUAUUAAUGAUUACUAUCCAAUUAAA
rnacentral:tRNA from 1 species